rnacentral:tRNA from 1 species
UAGCUUAAUUGGUAAAGAAUCUGCUUGCAGUGCAGACAGACCCAGGUUCAAUUCCUAG